UACGUAGGGUGCAGGCGUUUAAUCGGAAUUACUGGGCGUAAAGCGUGCGCAGGCGGUUUGCUAAGACAGGUGUGAAAUCCCCGGGCUUAACCUGGGAACUGCGCUUGUAACUGGCAAGCUAGAGUGUGGCAGAGGGGGGUGGGAAUUCCACGUGUAGCAGUGAAAUGCGUAGAAUAUGCGGAGGAACACCGAUGGCGAAGGCAAUCCCCGUGG
rnacentral:rRNA from 1 species